CGCGGGGUAGCGCAGGGGCCGUCGCGCCAGCUUGCUAAGCUGGAGGAGGCCGGUUCGAGUCCGGUCCCCGCGU
rnacentral:tRNA from 1 species